rnacentral:rRNA from 1 species
AGCUAUGUUCUUUAACUUAAAAAAUUUGGCGGUAUUUUAGUCUAUUCAGAGGAACCUGUUUUAUAAUCGAUAGUCCUCGAUGUACCUCACUUAUUUUUGUUAAUUAGUUUGUAUACCGUCGUUAUAGAAUAUUUUAUAAGAAAAAUAAUUUUCAAUAAUUUUUAUUAAAAUAAAUGUCAGAUCAAGGUGCAGCUUAUAUUUAAGUAAUAAUGGGUUACAAUAAAAAUAUUUAUGUGGAUAUAAUUAUGAAAAAUUUAUUGAAAUUGGAUUUGAAAGUAAAAUUAAAUAGAUUAUUAAUUUGAUUUUAGCUCUAAAAUAUGUACAAAUCGCCCGUCACUCUCUGA